rnacentral:rRNA from 1 species
AGUGAACGCUGGCGGCGUGCUUAACACAUGCAAGUCGAACGAGAACGGAUUAUAGCUUGCUAUAAUUGUCAGCUAAGUGGCGCACGGGUGAGUAAUGUAUAGGUAAUAUGCCUCUUACUAAGGGAUAGCAAAUGGAAACGUUUGCUAAUACCUUAUACUCCUUAUUAACAGAAGUUAAUAAGGGAAAGAUUUAUUGGUAAGAGAUUAGCCUGUAUUGUAUCAGUUAGUUGGUGGGGUAAUGGCUUACCAAGACUAUGACACAUAACUGGUUUGAGAGGAUGAUCAGUCACACUGGAACGGGGACACGGUCCAGACUCCUACGGGAGGCAGCAGUGGGGAAUAUUGCACAAUGGACGAAAGUCUGAUGCAGCAACGCCGCGUGGAGGAUGACACAUUUCGGUGCGUAAACUCCUUUUAUAUGAGAAGAUAAUGACGGUAUUAUAUGAAUAAGCACCGGCUAACUCCGUGCCAGCCGCCGCCGUAACAC